rnacentral:rRNA from 1 species
AACGAACGCUGGCGGCAUGCCUAACACAUGCAAGUCGAACGAGACCUUCGGGUCUAUUGGCGCACGGGUGCGUAACGCGUGGGAACCUGCCUUUAGGUUCGGAAUAACUCAGAGAAAUUUGAGCUAAUACCGGAUGAUUUCUUCGGACCAAAGAUUUAUCGCCUUUAGAUGGGCCCGCGUUGGAUUAGCUAGUUGGUGGGGUAAAGGCCUACCAAGGCGACGAUCCAUAGCUGGUCUGAGAGGAUGAUCAGCCACACUGGGACUGAGACACGGCCCAGACUCCUACGGGAGGCAGGAGUGGGGAAUAUUGGAAAAUGGGCGAAAGCCUGAUCCAGCAAUGCCGCGUGAGUGAUGAAGGCCUUAGGGUUGUAAAGCUCUUUUAACCGAGAUGAUAAUGACAGUAUCGGGAGAAUAAGCUCCGGCUAACUCCGUG